CCCAUUAUAUCUCACUGAAACACACACGGGCUGGAAAAGGUCGUUUUACCCUACAUGGCUCUGUACACGUAUCCUCACGAGUGAGCCAACUGCACUCUCACUCCCACGAAACAUCACAGAGAAGAGCGAAUGCUUUCCAGUCAGGCAAAUCAGCAAACAGCCAGCACAUGCACAACACCUCCCUUCUGGAUGAGACUUUGGCAUGAGCGGCAGAUCACAUUAAUGCUCCAUCAUGUUACCACAGCAGAGCAUCGCUUGGCAAGAUGAUGCAGGAUACUCCCUCAAGAAAACUUUGAAAGAACAAUGCUGCACGGCUGAACUAGGACAUUACUGCUGCUGAUUAUGAAAUACGCUGCACCCAGCAAAUGGAUGAAUUUCAUUCCUAAGGGUGCGCCAAUGCUGCAGAACAGCACACUUGGAGUUCAGUGUACAAGCACCGAGAUGAGAAGCUAGGAAAAUUAACUCGUGGAGCUUUGUGGUAAAGCGGCUAGACUUCUUCCAAUACAUAAACUCACUUAUUUAGAAGCACAUUGACUGUUUAUACUUCACUGCAGCCUGUAGCAUAAAUUAUUUGGAGAAAACCAAGUGUAGGGGAAGAGCUGCUGUUCACACAGAACUACGGGCAGUAAAGAGUCUGUUUCUUUUUCAUUUCAAGAGAAUAUACAGGCUGCCCUUCAGAAUGGUACAAAUCCAAUACAUACACUGUUUUUUAUCAGGGAUUGGCCAGCCUAUGAUCUCUUUUUCUCUUUUAAAUACACUGAGCUGUUGCCAAGCACAGGGCCAGUUCAGCGCUCAUGGAGCAGCACACAACGCAUGCUUGGCCAGCCUAUAGAUUAGCCGUGUGCUGCCCUCCCCUACUGCUGUUUCUUCACCUCCUCCUUAUCCUUGCAGUGUCUCUUGCUAUUCUCUUUUUCUCCUAUUUCCUGCUUACGUUCUGUCUUCAGUGUACUCCUUCCUUUAUUCACUACAUUCACCUGUCUCCACCAGCUAAGGCCUGUUUCAAACAAAGGAACAAAGAGAAAACUGAACAGAAGUUUUCCAUUCCAGGCAACAACACGACUUUAGCUAGUAGCCGCACGGAACGCCUUGGUCCCCUUCUUUAGGACGCCUAUUUGCCUGUCGUGCCUGCAGAAGUAAUGUCUUUGUGACACGGUAGGCAGUAAAGCAGAACAAAGCUGUGAUUUUACUGAGGUCCUUCAGGACCUGCUGGAUGGGAGCAGCGCCGAGGCCAGUCCCUGCGCUAGCUGGAAGGUGCCUUGCAGACUGCAGGUGCGAUUUAAGCGUGUACACAAGGGGGAGGAGGUUUCAGGCCACGAAGAGAACUUCUGCUGUACUACAUGCAAAUAUCACAGCUGCCCAAAGUAGCUGUGAGACUAUUUCCUCCCUUAUAACUGGAGCACUUUAAAUACACAUUUUAAAAUUAAAAAUAUCUUUUUUUAGACUAAGAAAAAUAAUGACAAUAAAGCAGACAUAAAGUCUCCAGAGAGAUCCCAGUAGCACUUUGUAGAAGAGUGACCAUUUAUGUUUCUCUUUUAUAAGAGCGCAGAGUAGGUUAUGGAAAUGAACCAAUUAUCCACAAGAACAGAAUUCAGCUGUGAUAUACAGAAAACAAAAGACAUACUGUGUCUACAGCCAUAUACAAACAGCUCUUGACUGAGAUCAUUCCGAGCAGCGAGAAACGAGAAGAACAGAAACUAUCCCAUUGAAUGCUGAGGGCACCUUUAUAAGGAGGCCGUGUUCGACAGUGAGGUGAUGAACAACCAAUACACAUUUCAAACGCGAUAUUGCUGACUCUUUCAUUGUACGGUACUUUCAAGGAUAUUGGGCGAAAUUCAGAAGCCACAGAUAAACUUUCUCUGUUUGGAACAUUAUCCUGCCCACAGAGCCAGUAGGUCAUAUUUCAAGUGCGAUGCCAGUUCUGAGCUCACGUUUUCAUACUGUCUUCCUGUCUUUUACCACGGCAACCGCCAGCUCCUACCUACACUCAUCCUGAAGUGCAUCCCUGCUUUCCCCCCACUUCUUCUGUUGACCACUUUGGACUGAACUAAGAGUCAGCUAAGCCUGCUUAGGCAAACACGCCUGCUCCGAGUACUUACUCCUAUGACAAAUAACACAUAUUGUGUGUUUCUUUGUCUUUCCCCUCUUUUAUUUCUCAAUUUCAUAUUUUAGGUUUGAUUUGCUCUUAUGUUUUGAACAGAUUCCUAUUUUUCUCUCUUGAAUGACACUCCCAAAAAAGCAUCUUGUCUGUAUAAAUGCCGCCUGCUCAUGUACAACGUGCAUCCUGUAGUUACCUUACUGCUGCUUUGCUGAUGGGGGGGUAAGGUUUUGCUACUGAUAAUGGAGGCAAGAGUUCCUUAAUUCAUGAGGUAAGGGUUUAGGUUUUCAGCGCUGAAGCUCAAGAGCUCAUUCCCGUUUACGACCCAAGGGAGGAGCUGUUAUACAGGGUCCCGUCACUGAUUUCCAUCAUGCCAGCACUGCCUUCUCAUCAUCAUCUGCUUGGAUUGUUACCCAUAUAUCAUAUUUCCCCAUACUAGAGAACUCACAAUUCCUCACACCAGAGAAAUAAAUGUCCACUUCUUAACCAUUUGUUUGAAAAGGGUAGGAAAAACAUAUUACAGUGAGUGAUUUCAACCUUUGUACUGUCUGCUGGAGGUUUCAUGCUGCCAGAAACACACAAACCGAAGAUUAUUGCUGUUUAUAAAUGAUACCAAUCACUUUCUCCCUCAAAAAACUGUUGUAUCUACCAUAGCGGAAUGUUUGAGAAGUGAAAACGAAUGUAUUUAGUAAUAAAAAUUAGUGGCGUUGGAAUAUUUUUUGAUUGUUUUUGUUUUAAGAAAAUAAAGACUGAAUCAAUGACACACAUA